rnacentral:misc_RNA from 1 species
CUCUUUCCCAUCGUCAACUUCUCACUCCCUCUCACUCUCCAUCGAUUUUUCUCUCUGUCACUCUCCCAAUCUCAUAAUUUUUCUCUCAAUUCCUAUUCCAAUCGCAUACCAUAGACGCUUUUUCUCAAAUUUUCCCAAGAAAACUCACCCAAAAUCUCUCAAAUCUCACAACCCAAGCUAAUCAAAUUGGCAAGCAAGAGGAGAAAUCACCCAUUGUCACCGACCAAGAGGAGAAAAGAGGAGCGAACAUUGGCCAAGGGAGGAC